CCUACGGGGGGCAGCAGUGGGGAAUCUUGCGCAAUGGGCGAAAGCCUGACGCAGCAACGCCGCGUGGGGGAUGAAGGCUCUCGGGUUGUAAACCCCUUUCAGCAGGGACGAUCGUGACGGUACCUGCAGAAGAAGCCCCGGCCAACUACGUGCCAGCAGCCGCGGUAACACGUAGGGGGCGAGCGUUGUCCGGAUUUAUUGGGCGUAAAGAGCUCGUAGGCGGCUCGGUAAGUCGGGUGUGAAAACUCGGGGCUCAACCCCGAGACGCCACUCGAUACUGCCAUGGCUUGAGUCCGGUAGGGGAGUGUGGAAUUCCUGGUGUAGCGGUGAAAUGCGCAGAUAUCAGGAGGAACACCGAUGGCGAAGGCAGCACUCUGGGCCGGUACUGACGCUGAGGAGCGAAAGCGUGGGGAGCAAACAGGAUUAGAUACCCUGGUAGU
rnacentral:rRNA from 1 species